GACGAACGCUGGCGGCGUGCUUAACACAUGCAAGUCGAACGAUGAAGCCGGAGCUUGCUCUGGUGAAUUAGUGGCGAACGGGUGAGUAACACGUGAGUAACCUGCCCUUGACUCUGGGAUAACUGCUAGAAAUGGUAGCUAAUACCGGAUACGACCCUCGGAGGCAUCUUCAGGGGGUGGAAAGAAUUUCGGUCAAGGAUGGACUCGCGGCCUAUCAGCUAGUUGGUGAGGUAAUGGCUCACCAAGGCGACGAUCUGUAGCGGGUCUGAGAGGAUGAUCCGCCACACUGGGACUGAGACACGGCCCAGACUCCUACGGGAGGCAGCAGUGGGGAAUAUUGCACAAUGGGCGCAAGCCUGAUGCAGCGACGCCGCGUGAGGGAUGACGGCCUUCGGGUUGUAAACCUCUUUCAGCACAGACGAAGCGCAAGUGACGGUAUGUGCAGAAGAAGGACCGGCCAACUACGUGCCAGCAGCCGCCGUAA
rnacentral:rRNA from 1 species